UAGGGAAUCUUCGGCAAUGGACGAAAGUCUGACCGAGCAACGCCGCGUGAGUGAAGAAGGUUUUCGGAUCGUAAAACUCUGUUGUUAGAGAAGAACAAGGACGUUAGUAACUGAACGUCCCCUGACGGUAUCUAACCAGAAAGCCACGGCUAACUACGUGCCAGCAGCCGCGGUAAUACGUAGGUGGCAAGCGUUGUCCGGAUUUAUUGGGCGUAAAGCGAGCGCAGGCGGUUUCUUAAGUCUGAUGUGAAAGCCCCCGGCUCAACCGGGGAGGGUCAUUGGAAACUGUGAGACUUGAGUGCAGAGGAGGGGGGUGGAAUUCCUUGUGUAGCGGUGAAAUGCGUAGAUAUAUGGUGGAAAUCCAGUGGCGAGGGCGGCUCUCUGGUCUGUAACUGACGCUGAGGCUCGAAAGCGUGGGGAGCAAACAGG
rnacentral:rRNA from 1 species